CGGCGGCGGCGGAGGCGGCGGCGGCACAGAGCCGGUGGUGGAGCCGCCGAGGCCAAGUGAUAUUGUGAAAAGAACACUGGACAGCAAGACAGGAGACCUUGGAUCUGCUACUCACUGACUGUGAGGAGGGUCACGCAGCACAAUGCCAGCUCUGCCCCUGGACCAACUCCAGAUCACCCACAAGGACCCGAAGACAGGAAAGCUGAGGACUUCACCAGCGCUGCACCCCGAGCAGAAGGCAGACCGGUAUUUUGUGUUAUACAAACCGCCCCCUAAAGACAACAUUCCCGCCCUAGUGGAGGAGUACCUGGAACGCGCCACCUUCGUAGCCAAUGACCUCGACUGGCUCCUGGCCUUGCCUCACGAUAAAUUCUGGUGCCAGGUGAUCUUUGACGAGACUCUACAGAAGUGCCUGGACUCCUACCUGCACUAUGUCCCCCGCAAAUUCGAUGAGGGGGUGGCCUCAGCCCCUGAGGUUGUUGACAUGCAGAAGCGCCUCCAUCGAAGUGUUUUUCUCACCUUCCUCCGCAUGUCCACUCACAAGGAAUCCAAAGAUCACUUCAUUUCCCCUUCUGCGUUUGGAGAAAUCCUCUACAAUAACUUCCUCUUUGACAUUCCAAAGAUCCUGGACCUCUGUGUGCUCUUUGGAAAAGGCAACUCACCACUGCUCCAGAAGAUGAUAGGUGUGUAGGAUGCAGGACUGGGAGGAUGCACGAAGAUGGCCCCCACAUGCCAAACUAAAGGUUGCAAAGGCCAGCGCUUUGACAGUGCCCCGGGACUCAGGGCGAUAGGGGCAGGGAGUCUUGGGAAAUUGCUUAACAGAUAUAUGAGUGUCACCUCAAAAUGACUAGGUAGUGACACUACCUAGGGAGGUGG
rnacentral:sRNA from 1 species